rnacentral:sRNA from 1 species
GCUUGCCAAGCUCUGCCAUGCGGGCAGGAUACCCUCAAUAGCUUGCCAGGCUCUCCGAGAGGGAUGGAGGAAUCAAACCCGCACUCAGUCGAAGAGGACAGCCUUCCACGAAUAGACACAACCAGUCUUAGGUCGAGGGUAUACGAGAAGCUGCACUCCCCUCCAAACAUCAAUGUGUUAAGAAAAUAUAUUAUCUAAGAAUUUUUGACAAACACUGGUGUCUAUUAAAUAUAUAGUAAAUGAUCCUCAGU